AACAGAAAGUCAUGAAACGGAGAGGACCACGUGAGGCAAUAAAUAACUUAGAUGUCCAAUCCUUCAUCUGGUGAAGGAGAAAACCAGUAGAGGAGAGAUUAUAAAUAUGUGUGUGUGUUAGUACAUAUCCCAGGUUUUACUAACAUACAAAGGAUUUAAAUAUCAUACAGCAAAAUGGUUUCUGAGGUUUUAGCAGCCCUGAAACCAACCUGGCUUACUUACUAGCCACAUCACCAGUUCAAUCCUAUGGAUUUUCCAGGAAAUCUGGGGCAGUUCUGUGUUUAAACACAUAAAGGCACAUUUAUUUACUGAGCAUCUACUAAACAGAAGGCAAAAGUAACGUUUUCUCUCUUAAGCAUGUGUUUCAGAGAUUCAGAGGACCAGCAUCCCUGUUUCUCCAAUUCACUGUCAAGUUCUUCAUGAGCAACUCAUGCUAAAAGUUUGAAGUCUGUGAUGAAAGCUGACAUGGUCACCAACCUCUCCUCUUCCAACGUGGGCUCAGUUACACACUGUCAACCUGCAUGACCUCCGCUCUGGACAUGAGUUUGCUUCGGCGGUUCCAUUCACCAUGCAGCUAUGAGAAGGCCCAAGUGCACACACCGCUCAGAGAGCACCUGGAGCCUCUCAAAGGCAGCAUCUGUGGGCCACGGUCAAACCUGGGGGCAUUGGUAGGGGUUCGUCCUUCUCCCAUCCUGUGGGGUUUAUGUGUAUAUGGUAGGAAAAGAAAUCCAUCACCUUCACUCUUCUCAGAAAAACAGAUGAAAGAAGAAGCACUUUCCUGUUCUGGAUGUUCCACAUUCGGAUCCAUCCAAACCACAGUGGACACAUCUCCUAGAACAACAUUAUCCCCAUCCCAGCAGAGUUAA
rnacentral:lncRNA from 1 species